ACGGAACCCUCACGACAGUCUCUCUUCCAGGCUCGCGACGCGACGGCACUGCCCCUCCCGCCGGACUCCCUCCUGUACGAUGCCACUCCUCUUCCGCAGCUCCUGCAGCCCAACGGAAAUCCUGGGCCGACUUUGUUGCCCGGUACUCGAUCCAGACGGCUGCUCCAUGCCCUGAAUCGACAGAACGGAUCGGCCGCCGUGCAUCGGUGGAGAAUCUAAGAAGGCGACAUCGUGGGCGAGUGAGCUAAUUCGGUCUUCAAUCAAGCAAUCAAAUCGCCUGUUCCUGGUGGAGUUUUUUUUUUUGCAGGGGUUCCUGGUGGAGUUGAUGGGCUCCGCUCACCGGCGGCCGACAUGCAGGUAGUGGUUGUUGUGGUCUUUCCGGAUUCUUGUUGUCCUGGGAAUUUCAAAAUCGCAUCUGGUAUAUUGAUCCCUCUCUUACUAUCUUAUUGUCCAGGGAAUUUCAAAACCGCAUCUGGUAUAUAGAAAAUCGGUUGAUGUUCACUUUUUUUUUGUAUGCCCCUAACAACUUCCUGAAAUGCUAAAGAAAAACAAACUGAAGUUUAGAUGUACUUACUUUUCCAAUGUUUCUUUAUGAGUCAUUUUUUCGCUGUUAUCCAGAAUUAAAAGCAGAAGCAGUGCUGCCAUGAUACGCGAAGUUAUAUAUACCCUGCAAUCCUGCCGCCUUUCUUUUACUGUAUAACUACACAAUUGAAUGCUGUCUAUUUCAGAAUGAGAGGAAAUACUUCUCAAGAUUGCCAAGUUGUUUCCAGGCUUCAGAAAUCCAAUUUCAGUGGGCUCGUAUUUUUCGUUAUCACUGAGUUCUUACCUAUUUCAAGUGAUACUAGAAUUCUAACCUAUAUUGAUCUGAGGCAUAUAUUGCAAUCUAUGUUCUCCUGUCCUGAAGUAAGUUAAGUAGUAUUUUAAAUUUUUAUUACAAUGCCCAGUUCCCUUUUGUACUGAUUUAAUCAUUGACAAUGUGAGGGGCUGUCGAACAUCAGUUUGACAUAAAUCUGUUUGGCCUUCACUAAUGAUCCAUGGAGUUUUUCAUUGUUCAUGCAGCUACCAAUAGGUGCUCUUCUUGAAUAGAUCAUAUACUUAUUUUUUGCAUCUUGUUCCAAGCAUACUUAGUCUACACUUGUGCACUGUUUCCUAUCCAGUUUGUGCGGCUUUAAUUUAUGUGUUAAUUUUAUGCUCCUAUUAGCAGGACAAAGUUGCUCGUGUAGCUUCAACACAAAGGCAGCUUGGCUUUCCUAAGAGAAAAGAGAUGGACGGACGGACGCAACAAUGUGUGCUGCAUGUCGUGGUGGUGUCACGGCAGAUGCCAUAGGAUGGCUUAACUUGGAGCCGAUGGACGAAGGAGGAACCGGAGGAGGGAGGACGUGAAGGGAAACACGCACAAGUUACACAAACACACACAUAUUUACCCAGGUUCGGAGCCCUCUUGCCGAGAUGUACCACCGGGAGUUUGACUCUGUACAUGUGUACUGUGGGCCGAUAACUUGUCCAGUGGUUUUCUUGGGUCGAUAACUUGUUGUGGCUGUGGGCCGUGUUGAGCCUGGGCAACUGAAACUACUUAACGUAGCGGCGUAGCGCUGUGUCCGGAGUAAGGAAUCGCAUGAAAUAGAAAGAACUCAGUGCUCAAUGUCGUCUUCCUUUCUUCAGGCGUCGCCGUCUAAACCUAGCUCUCCUGGCCACAGCCCUCACCUUCACCGGAGUAGUCAGGGUAAAGUACUAACAACUUGGUAUCAGAGACUUCUGGUUCUCGGUGCGCUUCACAUCUCACCGCUGUUCUUAACAUUGACCGUCUAGUUGGAUGUUCUUUCGGGUUUCCCUGUAAAUCAGAGGAUGACGCUUGACCGGUCUUUCUCACAGUAGAAUUGAAAUUUAAGGACAUUACCAUGAAUUCUA